rnacentral:lncRNA from 1 species
AUCAAUUACCUCUUGAAUGUAUCGUCUCUAUUUCCAAUAUCUGAACACACAAUGAAACUAUAAUCUCCUCCUUCACCUUAUCAGUCUCUUCCUUACAAUAAUUCAGUCAUACCAAUAACUGCUAUUUCCACCAAUAUAUUCACCCUCAUAAUCUCCAACUAUAAUACUGUGCCCUCAUAGCUUUCAACACACAAUUACCCUCAUUCCAAUCACUGGAAUUCUUCACACAAAACUGCCAUUCACAUUACGGUGUUUCACACAAACACAGACUCAUUCUCUCUGCUGAACUACAAUCAGAUUUCAGCAUUCAAUCUUUCUUCUUCUCAAAUAAUACUAAUCACAUUUCCAUUCCAUAAUUCACUUCACAAUAUUCAGAAACUCUCAAUCCUCUUAUUCAAAGAAAAUAACAAACAAAAGAAAAGAGGUAGCACCAAGCUUAUCCCGGCUCACAACUAUCACAGCAAUGGCACCUUAAUUAACUUCUACAACUCCUAUAUAUUUUUCCCUGAUUC